rnacentral:rRNA from 1 species
GACGAACGCUGGCGGCGUGCCUAAUACAUGCAAGUCGAGCGAAGUUUUUCUGGUGCUUGCACUAGAAAAACUUAGCGGCGAACGGGUGAGUAACACGUAAAGAACCUGCCUCAUAGACUGGGACAACUAUUGGAAACGAUAGCUAAUACCGGAUAACAGUAUUUCUCGCAUGAGAGAUAUUUAAAAGUUGGUUAUGCUAACACUAUGAGAUGGCUUUGCGGUGCAUUAGCUAGUUGGUGGGGUAAAGGCCCACCAAGGCGACGAUGCAUAGCCGACCUGAGAGGGUGAUCGGCCACACUGGGACUGAGACACGGCCCAGACUCCUACGGUAGGCAGCAGUAGGGAAUCUUCCGCAAUGGGCGAAAGCCUGACGGAGCAACGCCGCGUGAGUGAAGAAGGAUUUCGGUUCGUAAAGCUCUGUUGUUAGGGAAGAAUGGAUAUGUAGUAACUAUACAUGUAAGAGACGGUACCUAACCAGAAAGCCACGGCUAACUACGUG